rnacentral:rRNA from 1 species
AUGAAUAAGUUCCGAAGCACGCUUAAUAGAUCAAAUUUGCACGAAAUUCAAUUGAUCGGGCGCCAUUUCACAUGGAGCAAUGAGCAAACCUCGCCAACGCUCGUGAGAUUGGAUCGUGCGUUCUGCAAUGUUGAGUGGGAACUGCUCUUCCCCGGAGCAAAGCUGCUGCCCCAAUCAUCCGCCAUAUCGGAUCACUGCCCCUUGCUCCUGGUAAACGACGUAGUCACCAAAACUAAUAGGUGGUUCCGUUUCGAGGCAUAUUGGCAGCACAUCCAGGGGUUUCGGGAGGUGGUGGAUCAAUCUUGGAACCUCCCAGUCAGGAACUCGUGCCCGAUCACUAGGUUCAACGCUAAACUGCACCGACUCAGUAAAGCCCUUAGAGCAUGGAGCAGAACGCUCGUGGGGGACAUUCAGAAACAGCUUAUGAUAGUGAACGAGCUAAUCCUACAACUAGACACGGCCCAAGACUACAGAUCGCUUAAUACGGAUGAGAGUGAAUUAAGGUCAAAACUGAAAUCACGAUGCAUGGGGCUUGCCAUUCUCCUGAAAAUUAAACUGAGGCAGCGAAGUAGAAUCCUUUGGCUAAAGGCAGGAGACGCUAACACCAAAUUUUUUGAAAGGAAAGCCAAUGCUAGGCAUAAACGCAACACAAUCCACAUCCUACAGGGACCAUCUGGACCGGUAUCCUCCUCGACGGAGAUGGGCGAGCUUGCUCACAUACAUUUCCAGAAUUUAUUUGGCAACGAGCAACCGCGGUCCACUGCCCUCAAUUGGGACAAGCUUGAGCUGGACCUGUUGGAUCUCUCAGAUCUUGAGGGGGAAUUAUCUCUUGACGAAAUUAAACGAGCUAUA